UCGAUUUUAAGAUAACUUUACGUGGAUGGCUUUCUGCGUUUAUUUAUUAUUUAUAUAUCUUCAAAGUAGAACGCAAUG
rnacentral:sRNA from 1 species